ensembl:snoRNA SNORA63 Small nucleolar RNA SNORA63
GUGCAGGUUCAGUUAUGGACAGGCUGUUGCAGUGCUUGUUCGUCGUUCCCCCUGCACAAAUGAACAUGAUUCCUUCUAUCCCUGUCUGUCUGCAUCUCAUGACUUGCAGGGACGCUGGUCUCAGACAC